rnacentral:ncRNA from 1 species
AGCUUAUUAAGAGAAGUUGAGGGAUUUGGCCCAGUGACACUUCAGCAACCACUUAUCAUUAUAAGUACGGUGCUACAACCAACCACGUUAUGUGGAUGAUAAGUU